GGAAGUGUUCACAUACCCUGGCUCAGCAGGACAACAAAGAAUCUGUCAGGAUUCUUGCAGAAGAGCUGCCUGCAUUCUGUGACUAGGGGUUUUGCUUCUCUAUCUCCACCUGAGCAUCUGGCUGCCAGGAAAACAUCAGACAAACAGGACAUUCUACAAAGUACCUGACCAAUAUUCUUCAAAAUUGUAGAGGUCAAAAAAGAAAAGGAAAACUGAAGAACUGUCACAGAGGGGACUAACGUGUUACGACAACUCAGUGCACCAUGGAACCCUGCCUAGAUUCUGGAAAAGGACAUUAGUGGAGAAAUUAGGGAACUCUACAUAAAGUCCAAGUUUAGCUAAUAGUGAUAUACCAAUGUUACUAUGGCAGUUAGAUAUCUUAUUGUAAGAGGCCAUCUUAAUGUAAGAUGAAAACUGUGGGAAACUGAAACUGGAAUUCUGUCCUGCC
rnacentral:lncRNA from 1 species